UGAGGAAUAUUGGUCAAUGGGGGCAACCCUGAACCAGCCAUGCCGCGUGCAGGAUGAAGGCGCUAUGCGUUGUAAACUGCUUUUCUCUGGGAAUAAACCCCUUUACGUGUAAAGGGCUGAAGGUACCAGAGGAAUAAGCACCGGCUAACUCCGUGCCAGCAGCCGCGGUAAUACGGAGGGUGCAAGCGUUAUCCGGAUUCAUUGGGUUUAAAGGGUGCGCAGGCGGGACCUUAAGUCAGUGGUGAAAUCCCUUCGCUUAACGAAGGAACUGCCAUUGAUACUGAGGUUCUUGAAUCUAGUUGACGUUAGUGGAAUGUGUCAUGUAGCGGUGAAAUGCUUAGAUAUGACACAGAACACCGAUCGCGAAGGCAGCUAACGAAGCUAGUAUUGACGCUCAGGCACGACAGCAUGGGGAGCAAA
rnacentral:rRNA from 1 species